rnacentral:rRNA from 1 species
AUUUUUCUGGGUUGCAGGCGGGUCUUACCAUGCAAGUCGAACGGGCCCGCGCCUUUUUUUGGGGGCGGGUUGAGUGGCGAACGGGUGAAUAUCACGUGAGUAACCUGCCCUCCCCUCCUGGAUAACCGCUUGAAAGGGCGGCUAAUACGGGGUGGUCCGGUUGGUCCGCAUGGGCUGGUCGGGAUAGUUUCAUCUUCGGGUGUUUCGGUGGGGGAUGGGCUCGCGGCCUAUCAGCUUGUUGGUGGGGUGAUGGCCCACCAAGGCGGUGACGGGUAGCCGACCUGAGAGGGUGGGCGGCCACACUGGGACUGAGACACGGCCCAGACUCCUGCGGGAGGCAGCAGUGGGGGGUAUUGCACAAUGGGCGGAAGCCUGAUGCAGCGACGUCGCGUGAGGGAUGGAGGCCUUCGGGUUGUGAACCUCUGUUCCCGGUGGUGAAGGCCCCGCCCCUGGUGGUGGGGUUGACGGUAGCCGGGUAUGAAGCGCCGGCUAACUACGUGCCAGCAGCCGCGGUAAUACGUAGGGCGCGAGCGUUGUCCGGAAUUAUUGGGCGUAAAGGGCUUGUAGGCGGCCGGCCGCGUCCGUCGUGAAAUCCUCCGGCUCAACCGGGGGCUUGCGGUGGGUACGGGUCGGCUGGAGUGCGGCAGGGGAGGCUGGAACUCCUGGUGUAGCGGUGGAAUGCGCAGAUAUCAGGAGGAACACCGGUGGCGAAGGCGGGUCUCUGGGCCGUUACUGACGCUGAGGAGCGAAAGCGUGGGGAGCGAACAGGAUUAGAUACCCUGGUAGUCCACGCCGUAAACGUUGGGCACUAGGUGUGGGGCGUUCCCGUUCGCGGGGGCUCCGCGCCGUAGCUAACGCAUUAAGUGCCCCGCCUGGGGAGUACGGCCGCAAGGCUAAAACUC